rnacentral:rRNA from 1 species
GUGGGGAAUAUUGCGCAAUGGCCGAAAGGCUGACGCAGCGACGCCGCGUGGGGGAUGAAGCAUUUCGGUGUGUAAACCCCUGUUGCCCGGGACGAACAAGCAGAUUUUUCUGCUCUGACGGUACCGGGUGAGGAAGCACCGGCUAACUCCGUGCCAGCAGCCGCGGUAAUACGGAGGGUGCGAGCGUUGUCCGGAAUCACUGGGCGUAAAGGGCGCGUAGGCGGUCUGCUAAGCGUGCGGUGAAAGCCCGGGGCUCAACCCCGGGUCUGCCGUGCGAACUGGUGGACUAGAGCACUGUAGAGGCAGGUGGAAUUCCGGGUGUAGCGGUGGAAUGCGUAGAGAUCCGGAAGAACACCGGUGGCGAAGGCGGCCUGCUGAGCAGUAGCUGACGCUGAGGCGCGACAGCGUGGGGAGCAAACA